rnacentral:rRNA from 1 species
AAUGGGCGAGAGCCUGAACCAGCCAAGUCGCGUGAAGGAAGAAGGAUCUAUGGUUCGUAAACUUCUUUUUUAGGGGAAUAAAGUGCGGUACGUGUACCGUUUUGUAUGUACCCUACGAAUAAGGAUCGGCUAACUCCGUGCCAGCAGCCGCGGUAAUACGGAGGAUCCAAGCGUUAUCCGGAUUUAUUGGGUUUAAAGGGUGCGUAGGCGGACGUUUAAGUCAGUGGUGAAAGUUUGCAGCUCAACUGUAAAAUUGCCAUUGAAACUGAAUGUCUUGAGUGUAAAUGAGGUAGGCGGAAUGUGUUGUGUAGCGGUGAAAUGCUUAGAUAUGACACAGAACACCGAUUGCGAAGGCAGCUUACUAAGAUACAACUGACGCUGAGGCACGAAAGCGUGGGGAUCGAA